rnacentral:lncRNA from 1 species
GGCCCGGCGGUGGCGGCUGGCGGCGGCAGCUGUGAGGGCUUCCCGGAAGAUGGUGCUGAUUAAGGAAUUCCGUGUAGUUUUGCCGUGUUCUGUUCAAGAGUAUCAGGUUGGACAGCUUUACUCUGUUGCAGAAGCGAGUAAGAAUGAAACUGGUGGUGGAGAAGGAAUCGAAGUCUUGAAGAAUGAACCUUAUGAAAAUGAUGGCGAGAAGGGACAGUACACACACAAAAUCUACCACCUGAAGAGGCAAGU